rnacentral:lncRNA from 1 species
AGAUGAGGAGGCAGCGCCUCGGGCGGCGGCUAGGGUUUUGAUCUGUGAACAAACUGUUCUUCUCCACAUCUUUAUACGGUCACCGUGAUUCCGAGGAUGGAUCUCAGGUGGUAGAGUCGCCGUGCAGCUGCGUUUGUGGCUAGCUUCAGUGAGUCUCUCUCUCUCUCGAUCGAGUUUUUUUGUUUGUUUUUGUUUCUCUUUCUCCGAACGAACGCCGGGAAUCGAAAAACGUUAAAUACCAGAAUAAGCGGCUGGAUUGGGUCGUCGGCUCGCCAAGCGAUACAGAGCUGUUCGAGUAAGUGCAGAAGUGCUCGGGUUUGAGUUGAUUUCGGUUGAUUAAUUAAAGAUGAUAUCCAAGUAAUGAAGUCGACCUCCAUACGACUUGGGAUAUUUAUAAAAGUAUUUUUUUAUAUUAAAUGAGUAGCUUGGUUACCAUUUUGCCGGACUAUCGAUAAGUGAAGACGUAAGAAAACCUUAAGUACGCAAGAAACUCUACAAUCAUGCGUGAUUUAUUACUCCUCGGUCGCGUAACAGGAUUAGCUCAACAUUUCUUAUAUCAAAAUGCACAUCCACAAAGCACCCGCCUCACAAGCUGGGUCGAAAAGGACCACCAAAUGUGACGCUAAGAAAGAGUGACAUGAGAGGUUGAUGUGCCUAUUAGGGACAGGCCGAAGUACAAAGCGAAGCAUAGAGUCAAAAGGCACAAAAAAAGAACGUGUUCCAACGUCUCUCAGAAUGAAAUGCAAAUGACGCUUGUGUCACAAGUCGCUACAUCCUUAUCAACCAAAGCUGACAUUGUGGGAAGAAUGCGAUGGAAGGGAUAUCAAAGAAGGAAGUAGAGUUUAGAGAGGACCGGAAGAGACCAUGUCACCUUUCAUAAUUUCUUAUUAAUGAGACAUAUUGACGCUUCGUAGUUGGAAUUUUUCAACAAAAGAGUCCGAAAGUUUUCAUUAAUCGAGAAGUGUUGGACUAGACUUCCACCAAUGUUGUUGGACUUAGACGGUAGAUUAUCGAAAUUGCUACGGCUCCUACAGCGAAGUCAAUAGGAACGUCCCGAGAGGACCAUCCGAUGGCGGUAAGGCCAGCUCGACGUUGACUUCGAUCUGAGGGAUCUAAUGCGCCCAGGAGUAGUGGAUGAAAAUUCAUUUAGUUAAUUAUUUUAAUUCGGUAUUGUUUUAAACAUUUCAGAUUUGAAAUUCGAACGAAAUUUUCAAAAUUUUCAAAUUCCCUCAUUUUGGGGAAUAUUUUAAUGGUAGUGGUGUGUUAGAGUGUCAUAUCACCAAUCUCUCCUCCUUCUUUCCUACCUCUUUCUUCCAGAAUCACUCAUUUCGUCCCUCUAUCUUCCCUCUCUCCUUGGUCGAUGUUCUCUCUCUCUUCUUCGACGGUAGCGACGGCAUACGAGGAGGUGGUGCAUGUCGGGCGGAGCAUUCAAGAGUGACCGAUGGGUGGUGGUCUAGCUCGGGGACAGAGAUUUGAAGAUUGAGGUAGUGGUUUUUUUAAGAUACGUUGGUUUCUAGAGGUCUUUGGAGCGAUUUUGAAGAGGAAUUUGAACUCCUUCAACACUCAUCCUCAUCCAAACUCUAUCAACGGUUACAAACAGCAAAAAUUGUAACUUCCUUCCUUCAGUACCCUAUAUACUAUACCGUUUUUAGGUUUUUUCUUAUCGUACUUGCUUUUGUGUAGUUUGUGAUGGCAAAGACUAAGAAACCAACCAACAUCGGCUCCCCGAUCUCUCUGCAGGCACGCACAACAAACUGACUACCCACCGAAUGUGGACAGAGAACAUAGCUACCAGCAAAACGAAGGAAACAGAAAGUGAGCUCAUAUUCUGAAUCUGACUCUGAACCCGAGUCGUCCAAGGGGCCUGCUGAAAAGGUAGGUUCUAUUGGAUUGGGUAUUUCGUUUUACUUAGAUCCGCUUACGUUAUGACCAUAAACCAUUUAUGCUUAGAUGAUUUCCUUCUGGUAUGCUUCUGGUGUUUUAUGUUGAGAUGAUUUCGUUGUUAUGUGUGUGUUAUGAUUCUGUUGAUGCCUAGUAAACAGUGGUAUGGUUCUAGUGUUUUCUGGUAUGUUAUACAUGUUUGAUACUGCCAUGUCAGGUGUCGAGGAAACAGCCUUCUAAGAAGAAACAAGGUGUUAAUCAGGACGUUGGAUAGGCGUUCGGUAGCAAACAUGACUCGAAGAAGCCUGGCAAGACCAACCCUCCAAAGAAGAAGAUGACAAAUUUCAU